AGGAGAAAGUCUGUGUUGGAUUAUGGAAAGCUGUUUCACUCUAUAUAAUUAAAAGCUUGACUGAGUUUCAACAUGAAGAUUUUGGGCAAGAUAAAACUGGACAGGCUGUACCAGACAGUUUACAGUCCUGCACAGACCGAGAAGGAAUGAGUGAUACACCUGAAACUGAGGAGACUGGAGGAACUUGUGAUUCCUGGCAGAGUGGCCUGUGGGCACAAGUGAAAGACAAGUUAAUGAAAUAUUUGCAUCACAGCAACAUUUUCCCAGAAAGCAUCCCACGUAAAUUUGAUUAUCUGCACAAGGAC